GACAGUUUGGCCGAGUGGUCUAAGGCGCUGGCUUAAGGCGCCAGUCCGAAAGGGCGUGGGUUCGAACCCCACAGCUGUCA
rfam:Perkinsus marinus ATCC 50983 gcontig_1104296547714, whole genome shotgun sequence.